rnacentral:rRNA from 1 species
GAAUAUUGGACAAUGGGGGGAACCCUGAUCCAGCCAUGCCGCGUGUGUGAAGAAGGCCUUUUGGUUGUAAAGCACUUUAAGCGAGGAGGAGGCUACUCUAGUUAAUACCUAGAGAUAGUGGCCGUUCCUCGCAGAAUCAGCCCCGGCUAACUCUGUGCCAGCCGCCGCGGUGAUACAGAGGGUGCAAGCGGUAAUCGGAUUUACUGGGCGUAAAGCGCGCGUAGGUGGCCAAUUAAGUCAAAUGUGAAAUCCCCGAGAUGAACUUGGGAAUUGCAUUCGAUACUGGUUGGCUAGAGUAUGGGAGAGGAUGGUAGAAUUCCAGGUGUAGCGGUGAAAUGCGUAGAGAUCUGGAGGAAUACCGAUGGCGAAGGCAGCCAUCUGGCCUAAUACUGACACUGAGGUGCGAAAGCAUGGGGAGCAAACAG